CUACGGAGGGUGCAAGCGUUACUCGGAAUCACUGGGCGUAAAGGAUGCGUAGGCUGGAUGUCAAGUUGGAAGUGAAAUCCUAUGGCUUAACCAUAGAACUGCUUCCAAAACUGGCAACCUAGAGUGAGUGAGAGGCAGAUGGAAUUAGUGGUGUAGGGGUAAAAUCCGUAGAUAUCACUAGGAAUACCGAUUGCGAAGGCGAUCUGCUAGAACUCUACUGACGCUAAGGCAUGAAAGCGUGGGGAGCAAACAGAAUUAGAUACCCCUGUAGUCC
rnacentral:rRNA from 1 species